GGUCCAGAGGGGAAAUAGG
rnacentral:miRNA from 2 species